UAGGGAAUCUUCCACAACGGACGAAAGUCUGAUGGAGCAACGCCGCGUGAGUGAAGAAGGGUUUCGGCUCGUAAAACUCUGUUGUUAAAGAAGAACAUAUCUGAGAGUAACUGUUCAGGUAUUGACGGUAUUUAACCAGAAAGCCACGGCUAACUACGUGCUAG
rnacentral:rRNA from 1 species